AAGGGGUGACGGCGUACCUUUUGUAUAAUGGGUCAGCGACUUACGUUCAGUAGCAAGCUUAACCGUAUAGGGCAGGCGUAGCGAAAGCGAGUCCGAAUAGGGCGUUCAGUUGCUGGGCGUAGACCCGAAACCAGGUGAUCUAUCCAUGGCCAGGAUGAAGGUGCGGUAACACGUACUGGAGGUCCGAACCCACUAACGUUGAAAAGUUAGGGGAUGAGCUGUGGAUAGGGGUGAAAGGCUAAACAAACCUGGAAAUAGCUGGUUCUCUCCGAAAACUAUUUAGGUAGUGCCUCGUGUCUCACCUUCGGGGGUAGAGCACUGUCAUGGUUGGGGGGUCUAUUGCAGAUUACCCCGCCAUAGCAAACUCCGAAUACCGAAGAGUGCAAUCACGGGAGACAGACAUCGGGUGCUAACGUCCGGUGUCAAGAGGGAAACAACCCAGACCGCCAGCUAAGGUCCCCAAAUAUAGCUAAGUGGGAAACGAAGUGGGAAGGCUAAAACAGUCAGGAGGUUGGCUUAGAAGCAGCCACCCUUUAAAGAAAGCGUAAUAGCUCACUGAUCGAGUCGUCCUGCGCGGAAGAUGUAACGGGGCUAAGCUAUAUACCGAAGCUGCGGAUGCGAGCUU
rnacentral:rRNA from 1 species